UGUAGUUGAGUCCUUAAUUAUUAAUUUCAAUUUGUUAGUAUUUUAUAUUCCAUUUCGACACUCAAAAAUUUAAAAAUAUGAAUAUAGUAUAUGACUAGUGCCUUUUAUUUAUUUAUUUCCGUUGCACUCUUUCAUUCAUUAUACAUAUCACCACUUUUGUUUAUAAAACUUUUCACUAUUUUAUCCGAGUUUGAAUUUAAAUAACUUUUUCCGAGAAGACAAUUUAGGAAUUUUAUUCCUAAUUAUUACACGACAUCCUCCUACACUUGGGAUUGCAUUUGUGCUACUCAUUUUUGAGUGAGUCACUGCCCCUUCCAGUUCCCACUCGGCCUUUCCCCUCUCAGAUCCACCCAACCCAAGCCUUGAUCUCUCUCUUUUAAGAUUCAACGCUGCCACCUACCACCACCAUUCAUCGUGAGCUUCCCCUCCUCAACCCUCUGUCUACAUCGGUUUUUCAACCUAUUCUUUUUCCCCAGUCAUGGAAUCCCUUGUUUGCUCAGAUCUAUUGUUGUCCACCAUGCACCACUAUUGCUACCGCCGUGCCACUCCUAGUGUUACCAUAGUAAGUUGUGUGCCACUCUAUUACGUAUUAACUUUUAGGCAUCAUUAGAUUUAACCGACUGUUUUUCCAUCUCACAGUGACAAACGCACACAUGCAUGGGAUACCUUAGAUAGCGAGCUCGAUCAUCCAAAAUUUACCUUCCGCGUUAUGACGGAUUUGAGCAUGAGGGACUGCCCCCACCUAAGGAUAACCUGGGGUUUAUCCCCGUUGUAGCUGAUUGGUUUCUUAUUUUAUUGUUUCAGCUAGAUGACUAUAAUAAUCUUUUUGAGAACUUCUUUGUUGGAUUAUAUUAGAAUUUCUCAUACUAUUCACAGUU